rnacentral:rRNA from 1 species
GACGAACGCUGGCGGCGUGCCUAAUACAUGCAAGUUGAGCGCUGAAGGUUGGUACUUGUACCAACUGGAUGAGCAGCGAACGGGUGAGUAACGCGUGGGGAAUCUGCCUUUGAGCGGGGGACAACAUUUGGAAACGAAUGCUAAUACCGCAUAAAAACUUUAAACACAAGUUUUAAGUUUGAAAGAUGCAAUUGCAUCACUCAAAGAUGAUCCCGCGUUGUAUUAGCUAGUUGGUGAGGUAAAGGCCCACCAAGGCGAUGAUACAUAGCCGACCUGAGAGGGUGAUCGGCCACAUUGGGAAUGAGACAAGGCCCAAAAUCCUACGGGAGGCAGCAGUAGGGAAUCUUCGGCAAUGGACGAAAGUCUGACCGAGCAAAGCCGCGUGAGUGAAGAAGGUUUUCGGAUCGUAAAAAUCUGUUGGUAGAGAAGAACGUUGGUGAGAGUGGAAAGCUCAUCAAGUGACGGUAACUACCCAGAAAGGGACGGCUAACUACGUG